GGUCGGUUAGCUUAGUCGGUAGAGCAUACGCCUAAUACCAGCAGGUGUCAGUCAGCGUAAGGUCGAGGGUUCGAUCCCCUCACGGAUCA